rnacentral:rRNA from 1 species
UACGAAGGAUCCAAGCGUUAUCCGGAUUCAUUGGGUUUAAAGGGUGCGUAGGCGGUUUUGUAAGUCAGUGGUGAAAUCUCCUUGCUUAACAAGGAAACUGCCAUUGAUACUGCAGAACUAGAGUACAGAUGACGUUGGCGGAAUGUGUCAUGUAGCGGUGAAAUGUAUAGAUAUGACACAGAACACCGAUUGCGAAGGCAGCUGACGAAACUGCAACUGACGCUGAUGCACGAAAGUGCGGGGAUCAAACAAGG